GUAUUCCGCUCCAUAGCGUAUAUUAAAGUUGUUGCAGUUAAAAAGCUCGUAGUUGAAUUUCGGGGUUAGUAGGCUGGUCAUGCCACCGGUAUGUACUGGUCUUUCUGAUUCCUCCUUCCUGAUGAACUGUAAUGCCAUUAAUUUGGUGUUGCAGGGAAUCUGGACUGUUACUUUGAAAAAAUUAGAGUGUUUAAAGCAGGCUAACGCUUGAAUACAUUAGCAUGGAAUAAUGAAAUAGGACGUUCGAUCCUAUUUUGUUGGUUUCUAGGAUUGACGUAAUGAUUAAUAGGGAUAGUUGGGGGCAUUAGUAUUCAAUUGUCAGAGGUGAAAUUCUUGGAUUUAUUGAAGACUAACUACUGCGAAAGCAUUUGCCAAGGAUGUUUUCAUUAAUCAAGAACGAAAGUUAGGGGAUCGAAGACGAUCAGAUACCGUCGUAGUCUUAACCAUAAACUAUGCCGACUAGGGAUCGGAUGAUGUUAAUUUUUUAAUGACUCAUUCGGCACCUUACGGGAAACA
rnacentral:rRNA from 1 species